rnacentral:rRNA from 1 species
GAUGAACGCUGGCGGCGUGCCUAAUACAUGCAAGUCGAGCGAACGGACGAGAAGCUUGCUUCUCUGAUGUUAGCGGCGGACGGGUGAGUAACACGUGGAUAACCUACCUAUAAGACUGGGAUAACUUCGGGAAACCGGAGCUAAUACCGGAUAAUAUUUUGAACCGCAUGGUUCAAAAGUGAAAGACGGUCUUGCUGUCACUUAUAGAUGGAUCCGCGCUGCAUUAGCUAGUUGGUAAGGUAACGGCUUACCAAGGCAACGAUGCAUAGCCGACCUGAGAGGGUGAUCGGCCACACUGGAACUGAGACACGGUCCAGACUCCUACGGGAGGCAGCAGUAGGGAAUCUUCCGCAAUGGGCGAAAGCCUGACGGAGCAACGCCGCGUGAGUGAUGAAGGUCUUCGGAUCGUAAAACUCUGUUAUUAGGGAAGAACAUAUGUGUAAGUAACUGUGCACAUCUUGACGGUACCUAAUCAGAAAGCGACGGCUAACUACGUG